rnacentral:rRNA from 1 species
UACGUAGGGACCAAGCGUUGUUCGGAUUUACUGGGCGUAAAGGGCGCGUAGGCGGCAAUUCAAGUCAUCUGUGAAAUCUCCGGGCUUAACCCGGAACGGUCAGAUGAUACUGCUUUGCUAGAGUGCGGAAGGGGCAAUCGGAAUUCUUGGUGUAGCGGUGAAAUGCGUAGAUAUCAAGAGGAACACCUGAGGUGAAGACGGGUUGCUGGGCCGACACUGACGCUGAGACGCGAAAGCGUGGGGAGCAAACAGG